rnacentral:rRNA from 1 species
AGAGUUUGAUCCUGGCUCAGAACGUACGCUGGCGGCACGCCUAACACAUGCAAGUCGAACGAAGUAGCAAUACUUAGUGGCAGACGGGUGAGUAACAUGUGGGUAUCUGCCCUUUGGCCUGGAAUAACACGAGGAAACUUGUGCUAAUACCGGAUAAGUCUUUACGGAGAAAGCUUUAUGCACCAUUGGAUGAGCCCGCACUUGAUUAGUUUGUUGGUGGGGUAAUGGCCUACCAAGACUGUGAUCAAUAGCUGAUUUGAGAGGAUGAUCAGCCACAUUGGGACUGAGACACGGCCCAAACUCCUACGGGAGGCAGCAGUGGGGAAUCUUGCACAAUGGAGGAAACUCUGAUGCAGCGAUGCCGCGUGAGUGAAGAAGGCCCUUGGGUUGUAAAGCUCUUUCGUCGGGGAAGAAAAUGACUGUACCCGAAUAAGAAGGUCCGGCUAACUUCGUGCCAGCAGCCGCGGUAAUACGAAGGGACCUAGCGUAGUUCGGAAUUACUGGGCUUAAAGAGUUCGUAGGUGGUUGAAAAAGUUGGUGGUGAAAUCCCAGAGCUUAACUCUGGAACUGCCAUCAAAACUUUUCAGCUAGAGUUUGAUAGAGGAAAGCAGAAUUUCUAGUGUAGAGGUGAAAUUCGUAGAUAUUAGAAAGAAUACCAAUUGCGAAGGCAGCUUUCUGGAUCAUUACUGACACUGAGGAACGAAAGCAUGGGUAGCGAAGAGGAUUAGAUACCCUCGUAGUCCAUGCCGUAAACGAUGUGUGUUAGACGUUGGAAAUUUAUUUUCAGUGUCGCAGCGAAAGCGAUAAACACACCGCCUGGGGAGUACGACCGCAAGGUUAAAACUCAAAUGAAUUGACGGGGACCCGCACAAGUAGUGGAGCAUGUGGUUUAAUUCGAAGAUACGCGCAGAACCUUACCAACACUUGACAUGUUCGUCGCGACUUUAAGAGAUUAAAGUUUUCGGUUCGGCCGGACGAAACACAGGUGCUGCAUGGCUGUCGUCAGCUCGUGUCGUGAGAUGUUGGGUUAAGUCCCGCAACGAGCGCAACCCUCACUUUUAGUUGCCAUCAUUAAGUUGGGCACUCUGAAAGAACUGCCAGUGAUAAGCUGGAGGAAGGUGGGGAUGACGUCAAGUCCUCAUGGCCAUUACGUGUUGGGCUACACACGUGCUACAAUGGUAUCUACAACAGGAAGCGAAACAGCGAUGUUAAGCAAAUCCUUAAAAGAUACCUCAGUUCGGAUUGCACUCUGCAACUCGAGUGCAUGAAGCUGGAAUUACUAGUAAUCGUGGAUCAGCGUGCCACGGUGAAUGCGUUCCCGGGUCUUGUACACACCGCCCGUCACACCAUGGGAGUUGGUUCUACCUUAAGGCAAGGUUUAAUACCCUUGACCACGGUAUAGUCAGCGACUGGGGUGAAGUCAUAACAAGGUAGCCGUA